UUUCUGAUGAACAUGAGCAUGUUUGUGAGAAAUAUGGUGGAUUUGUUGUGAUUGGGCAGCGGCCAGACAACCAUAGAGAUGGAAUCCACAAAUGUUGAGUUUUCUUGUCUCACACCUCUACUAAUUCCAUCUCACAUUU